rnacentral:rRNA from 1 species
GGCAGCGUGCAUAACACAUGCAAGUCGAACGGUAGUAUUAUCUUCGGAUAAUAUGAGAGUGGCGAACGGGUGAGUAACACGUAAGAAUCUACCUUUAGGACGGGGAUAACUUCUGGAAACGGAUGCUAAUACCCGAUAUGCUGUGGAGUGAAAUGAAUUUCGCCUAAAGAUGAUCUUGCGUCUGAUUAGCUAGAUAGGGUGGUAAUGGCGCCCUAUGGCGACGAUCAGUAGCUGGUCUGAGAGGAUGGACAGCCACAUUGGGACUGAGACACGGCCCAAACUCCUACGGGAGGCAGCAGUGGGGAAUUUUCCGCAAUGGGCGAAAGCCUGACGGAGCGACGCUGCGUGAAGGAUGACGGCCUGAGGGUUGUAAACUUCUUUUCUCGAAGAAGAAUCAAUGACGGUAUUCGAGGAAUAAGCAUCGGCUAACUCUGUGCCAGCAGCCGCGGUAAGACAGAGGAUGCAAGUGUUAUUCGGAUUGAUUGGGCGUAAAGCGUCUGUAGGCGGUUUAGAAAGUCUUUUGUGAAAUACUUCAGCUCAACUGGGGCUCCGCAAAAGAAACUUCUAGACUUGAGGGAAGUAGAGGUACAGGGAAUUUCCGGUGGAGCGGUGAAAUGCGUA